UCUCUGACACUUCCCCAUUACGCAAGUCCCCAGGAGGCUGGGCAGUGUCACCUGCUGGGUCACCCCCAGGGCCUGGGUGUUGUGAGCAGCAGCUGGGACCUGCCUGGUGGGGGGAGAGAGGCUGGAUGUGGAGAAGAAGAGCUGACUCUUGGGUUUCAGUGUUGUUUCUUUGAUGGUAUGUCUCUUGGGCCGUGGUGUCCACAGCCAGGGAGAAGAGAGGGAGAAAUCACAGCAUCCUGCUGCAAAUGUCUCAGUGGUGCUCCUGCGGGCUGCCUCCCUUUGCCUCACCUGCCCCAGUCCUGAGGACUUCCGAGGUGUUCCUCAGCCCUGUGAAGUCGAACUGGUAGAGCCUCCAGGUGCGCUGGUCAGAGACCUCGAUGG